rnacentral:rRNA from 1 species
AGCAGCCGCGGUAAUUCCAGCUCCAAUAGCGUAUAUUAAAGUUGUUGCAGUUAAAAAGCUCGUAGUUGAAUUUCGGGAUUUAUCCGUUGGUCGGGCUUUUUGGUCUGUACUGGCGUGAUGGAUUCCUACCUUCUGAAUAACCGGCAUGCCAUUAAUUUGGUGCGCCGGGGAAGCAGGACUGUUACCUUGAAAAAAUUAGAGUGCUUAAAGCAGGCUUAUGCCUGAAUACAUUAGCAUGGAAUAAUGAAAUAGGACGUUUGGUCCUAUUUUGUUGGUUUCUAGGAUUGACGUAAUGAUUAAUAGGGAUAGUUGGGGGCAUUAGUAUUCAAUUGUCAGAGGUGAAAUUCUUGGAUUAUUGGAAGACUAACUACUGCGAAAGCAUUUGCCAAGGAUGUUUUCAUUAAUCAAGAACGAAAGUUAGGGGAUCGAAGACGAUCAGAUACCGCCGUAGUCUUAACCAUAAACUAUGCCGACUAGGGAUCGGAUGAUGUUAAUUUUUUAAUGACUCAUUCGGCGCCUU